rnacentral:rRNA from 1 species
CAGCAGUAGCCACGGGAAUACAGAGGGUGCGAGCGUUAAUCGGAUUUACUGGGCGUAAAGCGUGCGUAGGCGGCUUUUUAAGUCGGAUGUGAAAUCCCUGAGCUUAACUUAGGAAUUGCAUUCGAUACUGGGAAGCUAGAGUAUGGGAGAGGAUGGUAGAAUUCCAGGUGUAGCGGUGAAAUGCGUAGAGAUCUGGAGGAAUACCGAUGGCGAAGGCAGCCAUCUGGCCUAAUACUGACGCUGAGGUACGAAAGCAUGGGGAGCAAACAGGAUUAGAUACCCCUGUAGUCCCUGUCUCUUAUAC